rnacentral:rRNA from 1 species
UACGUAGGGUGCGAGCGUUGUCCGGAAUUAUUGGGCGUAAAGAGCUCGUAGGCGGUCUGUCGCGUCGGUCGUGAAAACUUGGGGCUUAACCCUGAGCUUGCGGUCGAUACGGGCAUGACUGGAGUUCGGUAGGGGAGACUGGAAUUCCUGGUGUAGCGGUGGAAUGCGCAGAUAUCAGGAGGAAUACCCAUAGCGAAGGCAGCUCGCUGGGACGUUACUGACGCUGAGGCGCGAAAGCGUGGGGAGCGAACAGG